ACGUAUCUCUGACGGCGAGGGUGCGCCCUGCGCCGGCCCCAACGGUCGUGCAGCGGGUGCGCCCGAGCUGCUCAACCCUUGCAAACCCCACUGUGCACUUUUGUCGGCGGAGGGCCCAAGUGCCCCGAGCCGGAUCACAAACUCCCAAAUUCAAAAGAAUGACAAGCGGACGCUGUGCCGCCUAAAACUAAUAA
rnacentral:misc_RNA from 1 species